rnacentral:rRNA from 1 species
UAGGGAAUAUUAGUAAUGGGCGAAAGCCUGAACUAGCAACGCCGCGUGUGCGAAGAAGGCCUUCGGGUCGUAAAGCACUUUUUGAGAGGAUGAGGAAGGACGGUACUCUCAGAAUAAGUCUCGGCUAACUACGUGCCAGCAGCCGCGGUAACACGUAGGAGGCAAACGUUAUCCGGAUUUACUGGGCGUAAAGCGCGUGUAGGUAGUUUGGUAAGUAGGGCGUGAAAGCUCCUGGCUCAACUGGGAGAGGACGUUCUAAACUGCCAAACUUGAGGAUGGUAGAGGGAGGUGGAAUUCCGGGUGUAGCGGUGGAAUGCGCAGAUAUCCGGAGGAACACCAGUGGCGAAGGCGGCCUCCUGGACCACUCCUGACACUCAGACGCGAAAGCUAGGGUAGCAAACGG